rnacentral:rRNA from 1 species
UACGUAGGGACCGAGCGUUGUCCGGAAUCAUUGGGCGUAAAGAGCGUGUAGGCGGCCUGUUAAGUCUUGCGUGAAAGCCCGGGGCUCAACCCCGGGUCGGCCGUGCGAACUGUCGAGCUGGAGCACUGUAGAGGCAGGUGGAAUUCCGGGUGUAGCGGUGGAAUGCGUAGAGAUCCGGAAGAACACCGGUGGCGAAGGCGGCCUGCUGGGCAGUGGCUGACGCUGAGGCGCGACAGCGUGGGGAGGCAAACAGG